UACGUAGGGUGCGAGCGUUGUCCGGAAUUACUGGGCGGAAAGAGCUCGUAGGUGGUUUGUCGCGUUGUUCGUGAAAACCGGGGGCUUAACCCUCGGCGUGCGGGCGAUACGGGCAGACUUGAGUACUGCAGGGGAGACUGGAAUUCCUGGUGUAGCGGUGGAAUGCGCAGAUAUCAGGAGGAACACCGGUGGCGAAGGCGGGUCUCUGGGCAGUAACUGACGCUGAGGAGCGAAAGCGUGGGGAGCGAACAGG
rnacentral:rRNA from 1 species